AACGCACAUUGCGCCCUUUGGUAUUCCGAAGGGCAUGCCUGUUCGAGCGUCAUUAUCACCCCCUCAAGCCCCCGUGCUUGGUGUUGGACGGCCUGGCGGAAGCUCCUUCCACCCCUCCUAAAGACAAUGACGGCGGCCUCGUGGCGCCCCCGGUACACUGAGCUUCUUAACUGAGCACGUAUCGGAAUCAAGGGCGCCCGGGGCACGGUCUUCUCCCCCUUCGCGGGGAAAUUUUCUCAAGGUUGACCUCGGAUCAGGUAGGAAUACGCGCUGAACUUAA
rnacentral:misc_RNA from 1 species